rnacentral:rRNA from 1 species
AUACGUAGGUGGCAAGCGUUGUCCGGAAUUAUUGGGCGUAAAGCGCGCGCAGGCGGCCCCUUAAGUCUGAUGUGAAAGACUGCGGCUUAACCGCAGAGGGGCAUUGGAAACUGAGGGGCUUGAGUGCAGAAGAGGAGAGCAGAAUUCCACGUGUAGCGGUGAAAUGCGUAGAGAUGUGGAGGAAUACCGGUGGCGAAGGCGGCUCUCUGGUCUGUGACUGACGCUGAGGAGCGAAAGCGUGGGGAGCGAACAGGAUUAGAUACCCUGGUAGUCCACGCCGUAAACGAUGAAUGCCAGGUGUUAGGGGGGUCCAACCCCUUAGUGCUGAAGUUAACACAUUAAGCAUUCCGCCUGGGGAGUACGGCCGCAAGGCUGAA